GGAUUGGUGCCUUCGGGAACUGUGAGACAGGUGCUGCAUGGCUGUCGUCAGCUCGUGUUGUGAAAUGUUGGGUUAAGUCCCGCAACGAGCGCAACCCUUAUCCUUUGUUGCCAGCGGUCCGGCCGGGAACUCAAAGGAGACUGCCAGUGAUAAACUGGAGGAAGGUGGGGAUGACGUCAAGUCAUCAUGGCCCUUACGACCAGGGCUACACACGUGCUACAAUGGCGCAUACAAAGAGAAGCAAUCUCGCGAGAGCUAGCGGACCUCAUAAAGUGCGUCGUAGUCCGGAUUGGAGUCUGCAACUCGACUCCAUGAAGUCGGAAUCGCUAGUAAUCGUGAAUCAGAAUGUCACGGUCGAAUACGUUCCCGGGCCUUGUACACACCGCCCGUCACACCAUGGGAGUGGGUUGCAAAAGAAGUAGGUAGCUUAACCUUCGGGAGGGCGCUUACCACUUUGUGAUUCAUGACUGGGGUGAAGUCGUAACAAGGUAGGCGUAGAUGA
rnacentral:rRNA from 1 species